rnacentral:rRNA from 1 species
UUGUGAACUCGACGAGUAGGGCGGGACACGUGUUAUCCUGUCUGAAUAUGGGGGGACCAUCCUCCAAGGCUAAAUACUCCUGAUUGACCGAUAGUGAACCAGUACCGUGAGGGAAAGGCGAAAAGAACCCCGGCGAGGGGAGUGAAAAAGAACCUGAAACCGUGUACGUACAAGCAGUAGGAGCCUCUUUAUGGGGUGACUGCGUACCUUUUGUAUAAUGGGUCAGCGACUUAUAUUCUGUAGCGAGGUUAACCGUAUAGGGGAGCCGUAGGGAAACCGAGUCUUAACUGGGCGAAUGAGUUGCAGGGUAUAGACCCGAAACCCGGUGAUCUAUCCAUGGGCAGGUUGAAGGUUGGGUAACACUAACUGGAGGACCGAACCGACUAAUGUUGAAAAAUUAGCGGAUGACUUGUGGAUGGGGGUGAAAGGCCAAUCAAACCGGGAGAUAGCUGGUUCUCCCCGAAAGCUAUUUAGGUAGCGCCUCGUGAACUCAUCUUCGGGGGUAGAGCACUGUUUCGACUAGGGGGUCAUCCCGACUUACCAACUCGAUGCAAACUGCGAAUACCGAAGAAUGUUAUCACGGGAGACACACGGCGGGUGCUAACGUCCGUCGUGAAGAGGGAAACAACCCAGACCGCCAGCUAAGGUCCCAAAGUCAUGGUUAAGUGGGAAACGAAGUGGGAAGGCUCAGACAGCCAGGAUGUUGGCUUAGAAGCAGCCAUCAUUUAAAGAAAGCGUAAUAGCUCACUGGUCGAGUCGGCCCGCGCGGAAGAUGUAACGGGGCUAAACCAUGCACCGAAGCUGCGGCAGCGA